UUCAAUGGGCGGGCUGUAGCAAGGAGACCUCCGGGUCUGCCGGUUUGUGGUUUCAGUACCGGUCUGCCAACCUUGUUAUGUGCCCGCUCACCCUA
rnacentral:antisense_RNA from 1 species